rnacentral:rRNA from 1 species
CGAAUUCGCCCUUAGAGUUUGAUCCUGGCUCAGGACGAACGCUGGCGGCGUGCCUAAUACAUGCAAGUAGAACGCUGAAGAGAGGAGCUUGCUCUUCUUGGAUGAGUUGCGAACGGGUGAGUAACGCGUAGGUAACCUGCCUUGUAGCGGGGGAUAACUAUUGGAAACGAUAGCUAAUACCGCAUAACAAUGGAUGACACAUGUCAUUUAUUUGAAAGGGGCAAUUGCUCCACUACAAGAUGGACCUGCGUUGUAUUAGCUAGUAGGUGAGGUAACGGCUCACCUAGGCGACGAUACAUAGCCGACCUGAGAGGGUGAUCGGCCACACUGGGACUGAGACACGGCCCAGACUCCUACGGGAGGCAGCAG